rnacentral:lncRNA from 1 species
CCAGCCCUGGCCCCCGUCCUUGAUGCCACCUUCUGUUCUUGGGAUGCUUUCCAGAGUAAGCAACAGAAGCCCCACCCACAUUAGCUCAGCCGAGAAUCAUCAUCUUGACUCCUGUAACUGAGGGUUCCGGGUGGAGAGCUGGAGAGGGAGGCUCCAGCUGCCCCAGCCAGACUCCAGCUCUCCUCAGGAGCACCAGCUCCCUCCACAGGCUGCCUGGUCCUCUGUGCUGGCUCCAUUGUCAGACUCCACCCAGUAGAGACAGGGUCUCCUACGUCACUGAGGCUGGCCUUGAACUUGCGAUCCUCCUGUCUCAGCCUCUGCACUUGCUGGAACUGCAGGCACACACCACUGCAGCCGGCUCACAGAAUGUAUUCCAUACUCUACUGACAGUGGAAACACAGUUGUUGUACAGGUCUACUUUCCCAACAUCAUAAAGUCUCAAGUGGAAACACCUCAGUAAGCAGUUAUCUGUACACAGUGGAAUAGUACAACUGGUUUUGAAAACAAGGCACCUGUGUAUGUACGGGCUGGGAACAAUCCUCAAGAUAAAAUAAGUUAGAAGAGAAGAGGGUGCAGAAGCGUGUGUCCUGCGUGUGCCCAGGUUGCGUCUACCAAGAGACAUGUGCAUGUGUGUUUGGUCAUGUGCUCCUAUAGGCUUGGAGACAUGGGGUGGAAUGAAGACUCAUUUGUUUUCUAUCCUUCUAAAUGUUUCACAGCGUACCUGUGCAUUUUCAUGAAAUUAACUAACCAAAACCCACUUAAAAGCUUCAUUGAAAAUAUCUAGGUUAGAAUUUUUGCUUCACAGAAGAUGGAGAAGACCAUUAGGUGCCCAGCAUCUGUGACCUGGAAGAGAUUUUGAUGGAGGGGCAAAGGGCCUGUGGUAGCAAGGCCCAGGGGUCCGGAGCUGUGUCUGCAGACACAAAGCUGUCGCCCGCCAUGAUUGUUUGGGACAAGAGACAACUUCCAUGGGAAACGGGAACUUGGGGCUCAACUGGGAGAGCUCAAGGCUGAGGAUUUUUUUCCUUUUCUGGAAACUUAGAGAGGGCCAACCUCUGGGUGGGCCUGGAUUGGAGUCCUUGGAGGACCUCAGAGCAGCUAUAAGCCCACUUAGGUCCCUCUUGGCCUAGUCCCAAAGCUGUCUCAGAAGAUCUUGAUAUCAC